rnacentral:rRNA from 1 species
CGCCCUUCCAGAGGGGGACAACAGUUGGAAACGACUGCUAAUACCGCAUACGAUCUAACCUCGGCAUCGAGGAAAGAUGAAAGGUGGCCUCUACAUGUAAGCUAUCACUGAAGGAGGGGAUUGCGUCUGAUUAGCUAGUUGGAGGGGUAACGGCCCACCAAGGCGAUGAUCAGUAGCCGGUCUGAGAGGAUGAACGGCCACAUUGGGACUGAGACACGGCCCAG